UUUGAUAACACAGAAAUUCACCGUAUUUUCGACUCCGAUUUCACAUGCAUUUUAGUUGUUUUAUUGUUAUUUUGUUGUGUUAUUACUAUGUUUUUCUUUGUUUUCAGGUUUUUACUUUAAUCGGAGCCCCGAUCGAGAAUAUUUUAGUUGUUUUAUUGUUAUUUUGUUGUGUUAUUACUAUGUUUUUCUUUGUUUUCAGGUUUUUACUUUAAUCGGAGCCCCGAUCGAGAAAAGGAGUGAAAAAGAGCUAAAAACCCUAAAA
rnacentral:lncRNA from 1 species